AUGUUCUCUUCCAUAAGCAUCUGGCUCAUUCCCCAGCGCGCGCACACACACAGAAGAAAGAAAAAAAAAUAGAAAACCCAGAGAGCAAGAGAGAAAUUAAUUAACUUUUCUCAGUCAUUGUGAUCUCAAACGUGAACAGUUUCCUUCUUCAGCAGUAAGCAGCCUCUAUCAACCGUGAGCUUCAAUCACGCCAAUAAUAGCAUGAGUUCAUCCCCAAGCAUCAACAACUUUGCUUUCAACUAAGAAUCUCAUCCCCAACAUUGGUUUUGGUCAAGAUCAGCGGCAGCUCAGCCUCAGCCAUAUCUAUCAACUGUGAGCCUCAAUCACAUGACCUUAGCGCGUCUCUUUUCGUUCUCUUUCCUGUCCGUGAAGGUGGAUCAAAGAAAGGCAUCUUGCUUCUCUCCUGGAGAUCCACUUUUCCGACUAAUGACAGAGCCCCCCCGGCUAGGAGGCAUUUAUUCAUCUUCAUCAUUUAAAACGAUGUAGUUUAAUGUGUCUGUAUGAAAAAAAAAAGAAAAAAAAAAGAGAGAGAGACCGGGUCUCAGCCGGGUUUACCCGGGUCGCCUGGGUUCCGGGUCGACCCGCCUGGUCGACCGGGUUUUUCCGGGCCAACUUCCAGGCGGGUUUUUACUUAGACCCGGACCGGUCCCAGGCCCGGGUCGGCCGGGUCCCGGGUCGACCCGCCGGGCCGGUCCAGGUUUCAAAACUGUGGUUAAAACACGGGCUAAGCUCAGUCAGUUACCGACAACUUCAAGAUUAAGUGUUACGAUUCAGGAAAGGUAAAUUCGGAUUUUGAUGUAAGAAAUGCAUUUAUUCAGUUUUAUAGCAACAGUUAUAAUUUUUAAUCCGAUUGUUGGAUCGGGCUAAAAUUUUACGUGGAGUUUCUUGACAUGGUAUCCUACCUUGAGUUAAAAUUUCAGGUUAAUCGGAGUCAAAAAGGCAUCGAAACACGGGUCAACAGAGGUUGUACGAAUUUUGUUAUUUACUUCCUUUUGACUUGUGGACUUUCUAUUUGGCUGGGAAAGAAGACUUCAGAAUAACUUCUACCUUUAGAUCAGAUUUCAUAGUCUAUUUGAGGACUUCUUAAUGGUGACAAAUCUGAUUCUAGCAUAUUUAGGAUGGUAAUUUUUGGAUUUUUAUUAUUUUUAUUAUUUUCUUCUUAGUCUUUGGGUUAUUAUUACUUAUUUGGGUUAAUUGUAAGUGGGUUUAAUAUAAGUCCACCUAAGGGGGGUCCAUUAGGGUUUAUUUAAGUCUAGAGUUAGUAUAAAUAAAGGCAUAACCAGACAUGUAAAUUAGACAAUUCAGAUUAAU
rnacentral:lncRNA from 1 species